UACGUAGGGGGCAAGCGUUGUCCGGAAUCAUUGGGCGUAAAGAGCGUGUAGGCGGCCCGGUAAGUCCGCUGUGAAAGUCCAGGGCUCAACCCUGGGAUGCCGGUGGAUACUGGCAGGCUCGAGGCCGGUAGGGGGUAGCGGAAUUCCUGGUGUAGCGGUGAAAUGCGCAGAUAUCAGGAGGAACACCGGUGGCGAAGGCGGGUCUCUGGGCCGAUACUGACGCUGAGGAGCGAAAGCGUGGGGAGCGAACAGG
rnacentral:rRNA from 1 species